UUUAAUUCUUCCAUAGGAUGUGAUACAUUUUCUGCAAGAUUCUCACACAUUUUCCUGGAGUUUUUUUUUUCCCCCAUCUCCAAGGUCUGAUGACCCCGGGAUUCAAACCAAAAGAAGGAUGAGAAGAAGACCCCACAGAUGAGGCCCAGCUCCAGCAGACACGUGAAGACGAGGAACCGAGCCCACCGGAGACGACCUUAGAGACGCCAACCAGCCUGCGAUGAGACGACAGGACAACUGUACAAGGAACAGAAUGCACUGGGAUGGAACAUCGAGGAGAAAUAAGUCAUUUUGAAGAAAAGAUGAUGGGAAACAUGUCCAGGACCAGUGCAUGAGAUGUGAGACCAGUCAACUAAUACAAAAGCUCUCUCUCCAAGACACCUGAUAAAAUGUAGAAUCAGAUCAAGACAAGAAACCGGAUAAGGAGCAGCCCCAGCAUGUGAACUCAGACUACGGAAGAGGGGAUGCUUAUUAUAGCAACAUAAAAGGAGGAAGUCGGAGCACAAAGAGAAAACCACACAGAGACACAGAGAGAACAUGGACAGAAAGAACCAGAUGAGCAGCAGAAGACAAAGAAACAGUUCGAGGAGCCUCAGGACGAUCAACAACAGAAGAAAGCUGUCAGAGAACAGGAAGAAGAUGACCAACAGCAUCAACCAGAGAAGAAGAAGAGAAGCUCCAGAUUACUCCAAAGGUAUCCCUGGAGCUGGCCUCACCGACCUGCAAAGACUUCAUGCUCCUUCCUUCCUCUGUACCCUCAUCCCAAAUGGAGGUUUUUUUUCAACUUCCUGGCAACAGGAAGUUUUUUUCCUCCACAUUGCUACCAAAUGCUUAAUCUGAUCAAACUACAAUAAGAGAUGGAGGUUUUUUUCAACUUCCUGGCAACAGGAAGUUUUUUUCCUCCACACUGCUACCAAAUGCUCGAUCUGAUCAAACUUCAAUAAGAGAGACUAAAAUAAAAAGUCAAAACAA